AGACCCGAAACCCGGUGAUCUAGCCAUGGGCAGGUUGAAGGUUGGGUAACACUAACUGGAGGACCGAACCGACUAAUGUUGAAAAAUUAGCGGAUGACCUGUGGCUGGGGGUGAAAGGCCAAUCAAACCGGGAGAUAGCUGGUUCUCCCCGAAAGCUAUUUAGGUAGCGCCUCGUGAAUUCAUCUCCGGGGGUAGAGCACUGUUUCGGCUAGGGGGCCAUCCCGGCUUACCAACCCGAUGCAAACUGCGAAUACCGGAGAAUGUUAUCACGGGAGACACACGGCGGGUGCUAACGUCCGUCGUGAAGAGGGAAACAACCCAGACCGCCAGCUAAGGUCCCAAAGUCAUGGUUAAGUGGGAAACGAUGUGGGAAGGCCCAGACAGCCAGGAUGUUGGCUUAGAAGCAGCCAUCAUUUAAAGAAAGCGUAAUAGCUCACUGGUCGAGUCGGCCUGCGCGGAAGAUGUAACGGGGCUAAACCAUGCACCGAAGCUGCGGCAGCGAACGUAUCACUUAAAGCGAUUCAGCGGGUUACGAUUGACGGAGCGAAGCGACGUCAAAGCGUAUACAAAGUCGAGUCGGUUUAAGGAUACGUUCGUUGGGUAGGGGAGCGUUCUGUAAGCCUGUGAAGGUGUGUCGUGAGGCAUGCUGGAGGUAUCAGAAGUGCGAAUGCUGACAUAAGUAACGAUAAAGCGGGUGAAAAGCCCGCUCGCCGGAAGACCAAGGGUUCCUGUCCAACGUUAAUCGGGGCAGGGUGAGUCGACCCCUAAGGCGAGGCCGAAAGGCGUAGUCGAUGGGAAACGGGUUAAUAUUCCCGUACUUGGUGUUACUGCGAAGGGGGGACGGAGAAGGCUAUGUUGGCCGGGCGACGGUUGUCCCGGUUUAAGC
rnacentral:rRNA from 1 species